GGUUUUAUUGUAGUUAUUAGAAGAUUUAUUUUUAGUAGUUUGAGCGAAAGUUGUUUGUUUCCUAAAGAGGAUGGAGUACUGAGAAGGAAAGUUUAAUUAUUUAUUUAGAAUAUUAGGUUGAUUAUUACCUUUUGUAUUAGGGUUGAUUUAUGUGGUUAUGCUUUUGUUAUUUCUCGAUGAGUAUCGGGCUAUUUUUCCUUAUGGUGUUCUCGUUGUAUAGAGUUGAAUAGGGGAUUAUAGGUAUGAAAUAUUAUUCAAGUUGCUUUUUAUCUGGUUCUUUAAGAAAUUUAAUAGUCGAUAGUGUUAUUAUUACUAUAAACAGGGAUUAGCUUGUUUAUUUUUUAUAUUGUAUUUUAAUUGAAUUUUGUUUGUUAAGUUGAUAGUGCUUGUUUUAAUGGAGUUAUUAUUGAGCAGAUUAUUUAUAUUAUUUUAUGGUUUUGUUUUUGUAUUAGGGUUAUGUUAUGAAUUUUUAAUGGUUUGUAAUAAUGAUUGUAUUAGUAAUAGUUUUUAUUGGGUAUAUUUUUAGUUUUCUGGUUGGUGUGUUAGAUGAGUUUUUAUUAAAAAAUUAGAAUUGAUGAAUUAGGCAAUACGAACUUCUGACUGUUUAGCAAAGACAUUGUUUUUUGUUGUGGUAAAAAAUAAGUUCUGUCCACUGCUAUUAGGUGAAGGGCUGCAGUAUUUUGACUGUAUGAAGGUAGCAUAAUCAUUAGCUUCUUAAUUAGAAGCUGGUAUGAAGGUGAAACAGGGGUUUGCUGUAUUUUUUCUAUUUGUUGAAUUUUAUUUUCAUGUGAAAAAUCAUGAUUGAGUUAAUGGGACAAGAAGACCCUAAUAAGUUUUAUUUACUUCUUUAAUGCGUGUAUAGGCUAUAAUUUAUGCAAUUUAUUUUAGUGGGUUUGGCUGGGGCGGCAUUUUAUUUAACAUAGAUUAAUUUUUAACUUAGUGUGGCGGUAUUUGGACCUAGAUUGUUUAGAUUAGUGUAAAACUACUGUAGGGAUAACAGCGUGAUUUUUUUUGAGAGUUCUAAUUGACAAUAAA
rnacentral:rRNA from 1 species